rnacentral:rRNA from 1 species
UACGUAGGGGGCAAGCGUUGUCCGGAAUCAUUGGGCGUAAAGAGCGCGUAGGCGGCCCUGUAAGUCCGCUGUGAAAGUCAAGGGCUCAACCCUUGGAUGCCGGUGGAUACUGCAGGGCUAGAGUCCGGAAGAGGCGAGUGGAAUUCCUGGUGUAGCGGUGAAAUGCGCAGAUAUCAGGAGGAACACCGAUGGCGAAGGCAGCUCGCUGGGACGGUACUGACGCUGAGGCGACGAAAGCGUGGGGAGCAAACAGG